UCAGCGGCCCCCCCCGGGGAAAGGGGCUGCCCGCCCGCCCGUCCCCUUUUCCUCCGAGGCCAUGGAGAAAGACAAGCAGUUUAAGCUGUUCGUGCCGCCGCGUCUGAGCUCUGGGCAGCUGCCUGCGGUCAGAAGCCAGGGUUUUAACAAAUGCCCAGGGGACGAUUUUAAGUUGCCAUUCCGUACCCUGAACCGUGGGGAAAUCACAGAUCCAGCUACACUGUCACAGCAAGUAAAACUUUGCUCUGAAGUAGAUGAAGAGAAUAUAGAAACAAUGAA